CGAUAUCCCAGGACUAUGUAUCACCGACCCUUUCAUUUAUUAAGCACAUGCGGAAGCAGUUAAAAUCCCCAGACAAUAAAACGAUGGGAUAGAAAAGCAGGGCCAUAUUUUUCAUAUUAAAACUUAUAACCAAACUUUUAUACAAAACACAAACCAGAGUACUUCACAACUUUUUACUCUAUCUCUAUUCACAUCAAAAAGGAGAUCUCAAAAUAAGAUAAACUCUCAGCCAUCCAGGCCGUACUCAAGGCCCUUCUCGGGAUUAUCUUCUUCUCCCAAAAAUCUUUCUCCUUAAGUUUCAUCGCAGAGUACUCCUUCUCAGAUUCCUCCUCAGCUCCUCAACGGGGUCCUAAAAUGAUUUCCCCAAACCGGGAUGAGACUACGUCUCAGCGAGUUCUACCCCACUAAGCCUCGAUUAGUAAAUCAUUAUACUAUAGGCUGCCUAAACACGCAUAGGGCUGAGGACUUACCUUGGCCUCAGAUCCCACCUGCAAGUCAGUACAAUUCACAAUAGGCACCCAUUUACUCCAAACAAAUCGAACCAGUUGAUUACAUGUCAUACAAAUCAUUUUCCAAGGAGGAGUAUCUAAAAGCUAGGCCACGUGCAUUUUCUAGGACAACAUUCCAAGUCUCCGAGCCACGUGCCUCGAACCUUGGGCCCACGUGCAUUCUCUAAGGCGAUUCCUUCACCAAGGUGGUACAUAAAGUCACCGAGCCACGUGCCCUUUUAGAUGCUAUUUCCGAAUACUAGACCCACGUGCAUUCUCUAAAGCACUAGUUCACCAAAGUGACGCAUUAGAUCACCAAGCCACGUGUCCUUUUAGAUGCCGUUCUCAAACACUGGACCCAUGUGCAUUCUCUAAGGUACUCGCUUACCAAAGUGACGCAUCAGAUCACCGAGCCACGUGUCCUUUUAGAUGCCUGGGCCCACGUGCAUUCUCUUAGGUGCUAUCUCACCAAAGUGAUGCAUCAAUUCACCAAGCCACGUGCCCUUUUAGAUGCCAAACUCUGUCACCGAGUCACGUGCAUUCUCCAGGACGACAUAUCGAAUCUCCGAGCCACGUGCAUUCUCUCAGGCGACCUUUUCGCCAAGGUGACAUAUUCAACCACUGAAUUCACGUGCAUUCUCCAGGUGAUAUUCCAAUUCACCGAGCCCACGUGUCCUCUUUCAAGUGAUUACCAAUCUACUUUCAAUACCGACAACCAAUGCCCAACGAUUUCUCAAUCAAAUAAUUAAAUCAACUCAACAAAGCAUUAUAAAUACUGAAUAACAUACUUGGCCAUUUACCAAUCAACAAUUCAAUCUCAAUCAAUUCCAAUCAAUUUAGGGUAAAUCCCUAAAAUAUCACAACUUAUUCAAUUCCAUACAACGUGGAGCUCAAAUAAAUAAACGGACUGCGCCACAACGAUCAGCACGUGAUUUCGAUCGUCGGCCAUCAAAAUCUUAAUUUCCGAAAAAUAAUUAAUUAAUUUAUUAAUUUCGAAAAUUAAAUAAUUAAUAUUAAAAAUUCAAUUUAGCUCAAAAUAAAGCCCGAUUAAAUAAACGAACUUCACCACGGUCAUCAGCAUAAAAUUUCGGUUCCAGACCAUCUCGGUUGAAUUUUCGAAAAAUAAAUAAUUAUUUAAUUUAAUUCCGAAAAUUAAUAUUUAAAUACUAAAAAUUCCACUUAGGCUCGAAAAGCCUAAUUGAAGCCCACUAAGGGUAGGGAAAAAUCCCGAGGCACUUCCAAUAAAUAGUAGACCGCGUCUAGUUGCUAAUUGUGCAAUCAAUUUAUCUAAAUCGCAUCACAAUUGACUAAUAAUUGCUAAUUUAUUCUAAUAUAACCACCUAAACGUAAUUAAUUAAAACUAAACUAAUCUUAAGCAUAAUUAGCCAACUAAUCCGGGAUUAGUGAGAUUACUCACCAAAUCGUGCGCAAAUCGGAUCAAUCCAACGGGGGCGACACGAUGAGCGAUUCUUCCUAAAGCACGGCUCGGGUUCGGGGCCCCGAAACGGCCCAAAACGGGCCUUGAACAGGGUGGAAACCCAUUUUUCCAGCCACUGUUCUUGGCUGGACGAAGCUCGUCCGGCGGCUAGGGCGGCGAGGGGAGGCCGGCAGAGGACAAGGGGGACGCCGGGGCGGUCAGGCGAUGCUGGGCGGUGGUCGGAGCUGGCCGGACAGGGCUGAACAGAGGCGAACAGGGCUGAGCAGGGGCCGAUUCGCGUGGGGAGGGGU
rnacentral:lncRNA from 1 species